rnacentral:rRNA from 1 species
GAUGAACGCUAGCGGCAGGCUUAACACAUGCAAGUCGAGGGGUAGGUUACUUCGGUAAUUGAGACCGGCGCACGGGUGCGUAACGCGUAUACAAUCUACCUUUUACAGAGGGAUAGCCCAGAGAAAUUUGGAUUAAUACCUCAUAGUAUUUUUCGAAUCGCAUGAUUUGAUUAUUAAAGUUCCAACGGUAAAAGAUGAGUAUGCGUCCCAUUAGCUAGAUGGUAAGGUAACGGCUUACCAUGGCUACGAUGGGUAGGGGUCCUGAGAGGGAGAUCCCCCACACUGGUACUGAGACACGGACCAGACUCCUACGGGAGGCAGCAGUGAGGAAUAUUGGACAAUGGGCGCAAGCCUGAUCCAGCCAUGCCGCGUGCAGGAAGAAGGUCCUAUGGAUUGUAAACUGCUUUUGACAGGAAGAAACACUACUUCGUGAAGUAGCUUGACGGUACUGUAAGAAUAAGGAUCGGCUAACUCCGUGCCAGCAGCCG